UGUAAUGUAUUUAUCUUGGCAUAAUGACCCCAGAGACUUUUUUCUUCAAAAUUUUAUCAGCUACAACUUUCCCAUUAAACAUUAUUCUCUAUCUCUUUACGUUUUUAAGAUUUUAAUGAAAAAAGCAUUUAUUUUUACAUUCUCAUCACAUGAGAAGGUAUUAUAAUUGGUCGAAAAUUGACUUUUACUAUUUCCAUGAAAUCUUUACGUUUUGAGGUGCCCUGAGUCGAAAAAACAUGGUCCGGCGAAAGUGUCUGUCUGUGUGUCUGUAUGUAUGUAUGUAUGUAAGUAUGUAUGUAUGUAUGUAUGUACGUAUGUAGACACAAAAUGUUGUUGACACAAUAACUUUUGUAAAUCGAAACAAAUCGUUUUGCAAUUUUGCAUACACAAAGUUAGUAUCAAAAUACAGGUUAAGUUCGUUAGCCAGCCAUUUUCAUCAAAAAAUGCAAAAACUGCGGGAUUUUCAAAAUUUUGAAA